AAACCAACAGGGAUUGCCUUAGUAACUGCGAGUGAAGCGGCAAGAGCUCAAAUUUGAAAUCUGGCACCUUCGGUGUCCGAGUUGUAAUUUGUAGAAGCAUCUUUUGGAUUGGUCCUUGCAUAUGUUCCUUGGAACAGGACAUCAUAGAGGGUGAGAAUCCCGUUCAUGGUGGGGAAUCCAAUUCUUUGUAAAGUGCUUUCGAAGAGUCGAGUUGUUUGGGAAUGCAGCUCUAAGUGGGUGGUAAAUUCCAUCUAAAGCUAAAUAUUGGCGAGAGACCGAUAGCGAACAAGUACAGUGAUGGAAAGAUGAAAAGAACUCCGAAAGGAGAGUGAAAAAGGACGUGAAAUUGUUGAAAGGGAAGUGCUUGAGAUCAGUCUUAAGGUUUAGUGAUCAGUCUUCCUUUUGGUUGGUGCACUCACUAUUUCUUAGGCCAACAUCAGUUUUGGCGGCAGGAUAAUGACAUUGGAAUGUGGCUCUUUCGGGAGUGUUAUAGCCUUUGUUGAUACUGCCUGCUUAGACUGAGGACUGCGCUUUUGCUAGGAUGUUGGCAUAAUGAUCUUAAGCAGC
rnacentral:rRNA from 2 species